GGACUGAACACUUCAUUGUCCAGGAAAAUGUGAAAGAUGAGCAACCAGAAGAGAAGGGCAAGGCCAGGGAAGUGAGUGCUGAGUUGGAACUUGAAAGUGGAGGGCAGGUGGCAUGUGGCAUCUUCAUUCCCUGACCAAGGACUGAGCCCAUGUCUCCUGCAUUAGAAGCGGGAAAUCUUAACCACUGUAAUGCCAGGUCUCCUUCUCUUGUUCAGAAGCAGCAGUGAAGCUGGAAUGUUAAUCCAAUUGGAAUUUGCCUUUAUACAUAUACUGCCGUGAUUGUUGCUGUUUUCCUCUAGUAUUUCCGAGCACCAGGAGCUUGUGGAACUGAGGGUUCAGGGGAAGGAAGUGAUUUUCUCUCAGCCUUGCAUCCAGUCUCUAGAGAAAAAGGAGAGAACACAGGAUGAAAAGAACAGGAGAAAUUGGAGGGAGGUGGAGAAAGAAUUCUGUGUUUACAAGGGCCGCAAGCUGUUUUCAUCGAGGGUAUAUGGAAUUAGGUAAAAUUCAAGGGGGCAGCAGGCUUGUCUCGUGGCUCAGAGGGUGAACAAUCUGUCUGCAAUGCAGGAGACCCAGGUUUGAUCCCCGGGUCAGGAAGAUCCUCUGGAGAAGCGAAUGGCUACCUUACUCCAGUGUUCUUGCCUGGAGAAUCCCAUGGGUGGAGGAGCCUGGCAGGCUGCAGUCCAUGGGGUCGCAGAGUCGGACUCGACUGAGUGACUAACAGACAGAGUAAGAUAAAAAACAUCCCGUGCUGAGAUUAUGUCAGUUAAGUAUUUGCCAAAGUGGAAGUUACUAUGUGAGUGUGAGAAAUUCAGCUCUGUCAUGUCUGGGGUUCUUCUCUCUCUUCUUCUGUUUUUUAACAAACAUAACUGGGCAAAGUGUGUUCCCCAGAAUAGAACAUUCUGUGACAUAGACUGUGAGAAAGUGUUUUCAUAAUCACAUAAAUCUGGUAAGACCAACAUUUUCUGCACUCAUGGUGUCUUACCAUUCACAUAUUAAAGUCUACUAACACAGAAAAUUUCAAGUUUUAUUUAGUCUUACUGACUGUAAGACCUGUCCUACCCUACCCCUCCUUUCUGUGUGUGUGGGAAAGCCUUCACACAUACUCUCGGAAAGACUAAUUUUUCUCCCUUCAAGGAGGAACUAAAUGUGGAAAUCGGUAAUUGACUUAUAAGGAGUUUUCGAAGUUUCCCAUACGACUGCUUCUCCUUUCUCUUUUUUCUUUCCCUCGUCAGUCCCCAUUUCCAUAGCUCCCUGACUUCUGCGAAUGAUAUUAAUCAUAAAUUGCUGAUUGCCUUCAGGGCAUCUCAUUCAUGACUUUACAAUGAAGCAAUUGCUAUGUUUCUUCACUUCAUAAAUGAAAGAUGAGGGGUCAGGAGCUGAGGUCACGUGAUUAAGGACAGCAGUAAUGACCCUGCAUUAUUGCUGGAAACAGAAACAGUAGCUGCAUUGUGAGGGUGUUUGAAAGAAACGUCAUCGUGCUGGCGAUGGGUGGCGAAGCUUCUCUCUCUUCCUUAAGCUUCCGGCGAGUCAUUCUCACAUAUGGAAUUCUGCUCAGCGUUUCAUUACCUCAGUCUUUG
ensembl:lncRNA